UACGUAGGCAGCAAGCGUUAUUCGGAUUCACUGGGCGUAAAGGGUGCGCAGGCGGCCAAGUGUGUUAGGCGUGAAAGCCUGGGGCUUAACCCCAGAAUUGCACCUAAAACUACAUGGCUAGAGCAUUGGAGAGGGAAGCGGAAUUCACGGUGUAGCAGUGAAAUGCGUAGAUAUCGUGAGGAACACCAGAGGCGAAGGCGGCUUCCUGGACAAUUGCUGACGCUCAGGCACGAAAGCGUGGGGAGCAAAAGGG
rnacentral:rRNA from 1 species